UGUGUCUCCUCUUCUCAUUGCGACACCGGAGCAGGGUGUGCAGGAUGCUGGAGUAGCAGAUCACCAUGACCAGCAGGGGCAAGACGAGACUCAGGAUGUUCCUCAGGAUGGUG